GGACUCUGAAUCCAGCGAUCCGA
rnacentral:piRNA from 4 species